rnacentral:lncRNA from 1 species
UGCUGGCCUGCAGAGGGCUCCUAACAAGAGCACAUGACCAGAGAGAUGAAGACCUUGAACUCCGAGUGACCCUGGGACCAGAACUCUGGAUUCACUAAACCCCAGCAUCUCUAAGCCAGCAUCCUACCCAGAGAGCUCAUUCUCCAGACCUGACCAGCCAGUCUUCAGCCCCAGUUCCAGCACCAAAAGCACCCCGAUUUUACCCGGCCUGCUGCAUACUUCUAUAGCCUGGCUUUGCUUUUUUUUUUCCUCCCAACAUUAAUGUCCUUGUUUUAUCCUUUGGGUGACCUUCAAAGUCCUGGUGCCCACAGUGAGAUUCUACAUACCAGAAGAUACUAGUUGAGGACAUCAACUUACGUUUGGCUCCAAGGAGGGCAGGGGGUCUCAGAUGGGGAGGCUGACUUCUCUUACCUGAGAUGCUGCCAGCCAGGCCACUCUCCAUCCCUGCAGGCCUCCUACUGCAUCAGUGCUGAGUUUCAAGGCUGACACCCUCAGCGUGGGUAGAGAGUGUGUGAGGAGCAAGCCACACAGGAACUGGGUACAUCAGGGGUCUGGAAGCCAUCCACUGGAGACAUGAACAGGAAGGAAGCCCACAGCUCCAUCUUCCAGGGAAGGUGGAUACCUCCCUCUGGCAGGCUGGCUGGAAUAGAAACUUUUCUGUUAUAAAAAUAAGAUGUGGGGCUGGAGAGAUAGCUCAGCGAUUAAGAGCACUGACUGCUCUUCCAAAGGUCCUGAGUUCAAAUCCCAGCAACCACAUGGUGGCUUACAACCAUCUGUAAUGAGAUCUGAUUCCCUCUUCUGGAGUGUCAGAAGACAGCUACAGUGUAC